UACAGAGGUCUCAAGCGUUGUUCGGAUUCAUUGGGCGUAAAGGGCGCGUAGGCGGCGGGGUAAGUCGGGUGUGAAAUCUCGGAGCUUAACUCUGAAAUUGCAUUCGAUACUGCCGUGCUUGAGGACUGGAGAGGAGACUGGAAUUCAUGGUGUAGCAGUGAAAUGCGUAGAGAUCAUGAGGAAGACCAGUGGCGAAGGCGGGUCGUCUGGACAAGUUCCGUGACACUGAGGCACGAAGGCCAGGGGAGCAAACGGG
rnacentral:rRNA from 1 species